UACGAAGGGGGCUAGCGUUGCUCGGAAUCACUGGGCGUAAAGCGCACGUAGGCGGAUCCUUAAGUCAGGGGUGAAAUCCCCAAGGCUCAACCUUGGAACUGCCUUUGAUACUGGGGAUCUCGAGUCCGGAAGAGGUUGGUGGAACUGCGAGUGUAGAGGUGAAAUUCGUAGAUAUUCGCAAGAACACCAGUGGCGAAGGCGGCCAACUGGUCCGGUACUGACGCUGAGGUGCGAAAGCGUGGGGAGCAAACAGG
rnacentral:rRNA from 1 species